rnacentral:rRNA from 1 species
AUUGAACGCUAGCGGCAGGCUUUACACAUGCAAGUCGAACGGGUCGCGUACGGAUUAGUAAUAUAUCGGAAUGUGCCCAGUAGCGGGGGAUAGCUACCCGGAACAGUGACUAAUAACGCACACUACAGGAGCGGCCGAUCUCGGAUGAGGUAGUUGUUGGGGUAAAGGCUCACCAAGGCAACGAACCGUAGCGGGUUUGAGAGGACGACCAGCCACACUGUGACUGAGCCACGGUCCAGACUCCUACGGGAGGCAGCAGUGGGGAAUUUUGGACAAUGGGGGAAAACCUGAUCCAGCCAUCCCGCGUGUAUGAGAAGGCCUUCGGGUUGUAAAGUACUUUUGGCAGAGAAGCGGUAUCUGCAGAAUAAGCACCGGCUAACUACGUGCCAGCAGCCGCGGUAAUAC